rnacentral:rRNA from 1 species
GUGGAUUAGAUACCCUGGUAGUCCACGCUGUAAACGUUGGGCACUAGGUGUGGGCUCUAACCAACGGAGUCCGUGCCGCAGCUAACGCAUUAAGUGCCCCGCCUGGGGAGUACGGCCGCAAGGUUAAAACUCAAAGGAAUUGACGGGGGCCCGCACAAGCAGCGGAGCAUGUUGCUUAAUUCGAGGCAACGCGAAGAACCUUACCUGGGCUUGACAUGUAGAGAAAUCUCGUAGAGAUACGGGGUCCUUCGGGGCUCUACACAGGUGGUGCACGGCUGUCGCCAGCU